GGUCUCACUCUGUCACUCAGAUUGGAAUGCAGUGGUGUAAUCAUGGCUCAUUGCAGUGUCGAACUCCUGAGCUCAAGCAUUCCUCCUACCUCAGCCUCCCAAAGUGCUGGGAUUACAGGCAUGAGCCACUGCGCCCAGCUCAUUGAUAUUUAUUGAAUGCCUCCUAUUUGUCUGGCCCUGGGGAUGGUGGAGCGAAGAAGAAAAACUGAAUCUUGGCUCUCAUGGAGAGGAUGGGGGAGAGCGUUAGCACCAGCAACAGUGACCUCACACAGUGAGGGCACUGGGAAGGAAAUAAAAGAGGCAACACAGAGUGAUAGUGACACAGGAGAGUGGACUGGAAAGGCCGUCCUGAGGAGGAGACAUUUGGCUCAGCCGUGAAUGGCACCUGAGUCCCGGAGCUCUGGUGGUUUUGCCCAGGGCCAGCCAGGAGACACAGUGUGGUAGUGUGCUCCUCAAGGCAUCUGUGACCUGCUCUCCUCAGCUCAGAGAAAGCCAGCGUGGCGUUUGAGGGAACAACCUCAGCUCCAAAGGGAACGCUGACAAAGGGGGCAGUCCAGCCCUGGGCAGGGUCAGACCCCAGCACCCACAAACACCAGGCAGGCCCAGGCUAGGAUCACAGGAGCGGGAGUAGGAGUGAUGGAGUAACAGCUCGUCUCCACGCUCCCAGCAUUCAUUCCCUCAUCCUCUGGUAGGUAAGCACCCAACUUUUCUUUGGGGAUGGGCUCCUCUCCUACUCUCAGUCCAUGCAGUUGAAUGGAGUCUACGAUGAGCUCAGGACCUCCCCACGGAGGCCAUUAUUCGUUCUCCUUUCUUUCUUUACAAUGAUUGGUUCAGAGCUGAGCACAUGACCUGGGCCUGGCCAAUCAACAAAUAAUAUCCCAUUUCCUUUCUUUCUCUACAGUGAUUGGUUCAGAACUGACCACAUGACCCAGGCCAACUAGUAUCUAGCUCUCUAACUGCCUUGGGCCAUCAAAACUCCCAAAUCAAAUAUUGUUGACCUGGCUUGUGUCAAGUGCCCAUCACUGAAUUAGUCACUAUGGCCAGGAGCAGAUGGGCCCUCACUAGACAGAACUGGUCUGUGGCCGCCCAUGGUGCCCGGGGUGAGGGCAGCUCCACCUGAACACAGAGAGUGGCAAAGGCAAAGUUUCCUGACAUAGACGUUCCUGUUCCAUUUGUCCCGCAAACGUUUAAACAUCACACAUACUUGGUUAAGGCACACUACUUCUACGUGGUGGGGAAAAUGGCACUUGGAAAAUUCAGUUUCAAUGGUCCUUUCAGAGCUACAGCAUCUGUCUCUCAAUGUCUAUGUUAAUUCCUCUAAAAGGACUCAGACCUGAUGUGGCUCCCAGCCUUCUUGGACCCCUCCUAUCUGUGGUACUGAUGGGUACAGAACUCACACACCCUACCCUGGGUGUGAGUAAGAGCAUGGGCCUUGUAAUCUUGGCUUGUUUGGAAAGAGGAAGGGGAAAUUCCAGAAGUGAAGGUCAUAACAGUUUUCUGUCAGAUGGGGUGGUGGCUCAAAGCAGAGGUUAUGAGCCUGAGUAUGUAGCUCCAUCACCCAGUGUGAACUUGGGCAAGUCCUUACCUUUUCCCCUCUGCAUCCUCUCCAUCCACUUCCCUCACUGACAUUCCAAAACACACACACACACAUACACACACACACACACACACACACAUUUUUAUUUUAAGACAAUUGUUGAUUCACAUGCAGUUUUAAGAAAUGCUAGAGAUCACAGACCAGGCACAGUGGCUCAUGCCUGUAAUCCAGGCACUUUGGGAGGUCGAGGCAGGUGGAUCACUUGAGGUCAGGAGUUCGAGACUAGCCUGGCCAAUGUGGCGAAACCCCAUCUCUACUAAAAAUACAAAAAUUAGCUGGGAGUGUUGGCAUGCACCUGUAAUCCCAGCUACUCAAGUGGCUGAGGCAGAAGAAUUGCUUGAACAUGGGAAGCGGAGGUUACAGUGAGCCGAGAUCGCACCACUGCACUCCGGACUGGGCAACAGAGUGAGACUCUGUCAAAGAAUGAAAGAAAGAAAAAGUAAUAAUAGAGAUCACAGAGCACUUUACUCAACUUUCCCCAUAGUAACAUCUUGCAUACAUGUAGUACAAUAUCACAACCAGGAAAUUGACAUUGAUACCAUCCACCAAUCUUAGAUUUUGCCAGCUUUACAUGCACUCAUGUGAGCUUGUUUGUGUGUUUAGUUCUAUGUAGUUUCAUCAUGUGCACAGAUUUGUGUGGCCACCGCCACAGUCAAGAUCUACCACCAAGAGGUCUGUUGUGCUGUCCUUUUAUUGCAACAUCUACCUGCCUCCCUCCCCUACUCUCUGAUCUGCAGCGAUCAUUAAUCUGGUCUUCAUUUAUAAUUUUGUAAUUUCAAGAAUGCUAUAGAAAUGGAAUCAUACAGUAGGUAACCUUUCAGGCCUGGCUUUUUCUUUCACUCAGCAUAAUUCCCUUGAGAUCCAUCCAAAUGGUUGCAUGUAUCAAUAGCUUGUUCCUUUUUAUUGCUGACUAGUAAUUCAUAGUAUGGAUGUUCCACUGUUUAACUGUUUGCUUUUUGAAGGACAUUUGGAUUGUUUCCAAUUAUUGGCUGUUAUGAAUAAAGCUGCUAUGAACGUUCAUGUACAGGCUUUCGUGUGAAUGUAAGUUUUC
rnacentral:lncRNA from 10 species